UUUAUGGAGAGUUUGAUCCUGGCUCAGGAUGAACGCUGGCGGCGUGCCUAAUACAUGCAAGUCGAGCGAACGGACGAGAAGCUUGCUUCUCUGAUGUUAGCGGCGGACGGGUGAGUAACACGUGGAUAACCUACCUAUAAGACUGGGAUAACUUCGGGAAACCGGAGCUAAUACCGGAUAAUAUUUUGAACCGCAUGGUUCAAAAGUGAAAGACGGUCUUGCUGUCACUUAUAGAUGGAUCCGCGCUGCAUUAGCUAGUUGGUAAGGUAACGGCUUACCAAGGCAACGAUGCAUAGCCGACCUGAGAGGGUGAUCGGCCACACUGGAACUGAGACACGGUCCAGACUCCUACGGGAGGCAGCAGUAGGGAAUCUUCCGCAAUGGGCGAAAGCCUGACGGAGCAACGCCGCGUGAGUGAUGAAGGUCUUCGGAUCGUAAAACUCUGUUAUUAGGGAAGAACAUAUGUGUAAGUAACUGUGCACAUCUUGACGGUACCUAAUCAGAAAGCCACGGCUAACUACGUGCCAGCAGCCGCGGUAAUACGUAGGUGGCAAGCGUUAUCCGGAAUU
rnacentral:rRNA from 1 species